CUUCGUCUGUACCGUCGUCGC
rnacentral:misc_RNA from 1 species